GUACUCACUUCAGCAGCACAUAGACUAGAACUGGAACAAUACAGUGAAGAUUAGCAUAGUCCCUGCGUAAGACUGACAUGCAACUAGUGACACGUUCUGUAUUUUU
ensembl:snRNA U6 U6 spliceosomal RNA